GGUGUCUCUACAGUCCUAGCCACGAAGAGAGCAUUUGCAGGAGAUGAAACAUCCUCCUGCUUGCAGCCCAGGGAAGAGGCUGGAGCUGGGCUACUCUCUCCACAACUGUAGAACUACAGUGAAAUGAGGAUUCUUUGUUCAUGUUUCAUUGGCUUCUCUGAGGAAAACAGUGACCACGAGAUGAGACUUGGGGUCUCCCCUGUGCUUGGAGGAUGAGGUAAAGGCAAGAGCAGCAGCUCUGGGGCUGAUUCCACGUCUCCCACUUGAAUGCCUCGAUUGGAAGUGAGAUCUUCCACCUCCAUCCCAGCUGCGUUUCUGCUGGAUCUGUGAUUGCUGCGAUG
rnacentral:lncRNA from 1 species